rnacentral:rRNA from 1 species
CCUACGGGAGGCAACAGUCGGGAAUCUUGGGCAAUGGGCGAAAGCCUGACCCAGCAACGCCGUGUGGGUGAUGAAGGCCUUCGGGUCGUAAAGCCCUGUUGAUAGGGACGAAAGGCGAAGGGUUAAUAGCCCCUAAUUGACGGUACCUUUCGAGGAAGCCCCGGCUAACUACGUGCCGGCGGCCGCGGUAAUACGUAUUGGGCGAGCGUUGUCCGGAAUUAGUGGGCGGAAAGAGCGUGUAAGCGGUUCGGUAAAUCUGUCGUGGGAUCCUGGGGCUCAGACUCGGGCGUGCGAUGGAUACUGCCGAGCUAGAGGGUGAAGAGGCAAGUGGAAUUCCCGGUGUAGCAGUAAAAUGCACGGAUAUCGGGAGGAACACCGGUAACGAAGGCGGCUCGCUGGGCCACACCGGACACUGAGACGCAAAAGAUAGGGGAGCGAACAGGAUUAUAUACCCUGGUAGUCCUAUCCGUAAACGAUGGACACUACGUGUGGGGGGAGUCGAAUCCCUCUGUGCCGCACUAACGCGUUAAGUGUCCCGCCUGGGGAGUACUGCCGCAAGGCUAAAACUCACAAAGAAUUGACGGAGGCCCGCACAAACAACGGAGCAUGUUCUUUAAUUCAUGCAACGCAAAGAACCUUACCUGGACUUGACAUGGGUGCUGCAAGCGCACGGAAACGUGUGACCUUUCGAGGGUGCACCACAGAUGCUGCAUGGCUGUCGUCAACUCAUGUCUGAUAUGAUGGGUUAAUCCCGCAACAGCGCACCCCCGGUGGCGUGUUGCCAGCUUAUAGUUGGAACUCACGCCCUACUGCCGUUGACAAACCGAAUGAUGGUGGAGGAAUAAUGCAAUACACCCUGGCCCCUACGCCCCGUGCCUGUUACGUUGUAAAGGGGG